rnacentral:rRNA from 1 species
UACGAGAGGCCCAAACGUUAUUCGGAAUUACUGGGCGUAAAGCGAGUGUAGGCGGUCUGUAAAGUCGGGUGUGAAAGCCCCGGGCUCAACCCGGGAAGUGCACUCGAAACUCACAGGCUAGAGUAUCGGAGAGGUUGGUGGAAUUCUCGGUGUAGAGGUGAAAUUCGUAGAUAUCGAGAGGAACACCGGUGGCGAAGGCGGCCAACUGGACGAAUACUGACGCUGAGACUCGAAAGCGUGGGGAGCAAACAGG